AGGACGAACGCUGGCGGCGUGCUUAACACAUGCAAGUCGAGCGGUGAUCCUCCUUCGGGAGGUGAUCAGCGGCGAACGGGUGAGUAACACGUGGGCAACCUGCCCCUCACACUGGGAUAACCUCGGGAAACCGGGGCUAAUACCGGAUACGACCUCGAGCGGCAUCUCUUGAGGUGGAAAGCUCCGACGGUGAGGGAUGGGUCCGCGGCCUAUCAGCUUGUUGGUGGGGUAAUGGCCUACCAAGGCGACGACGGGUA
rnacentral:rRNA from 1 species